GGUUACUGCUAUCGGUGUUCGCCUAAGCCAUGCGAGUCAUAUGUUCGUAAGAACAUGGCGUACUGCUCAGUAACACGUGGAUAACCUGCCCUUGGGUCCGGCAUAACCCCGGGAAACUGGGGAUAAUUCCGGAUAACGCACAUAUGCUGGAAUGCUUUAUGCGUAAAAUGGAUUCGUCUGCCCAAGGAUGGGUCUGCGGCCUAUCAGGUAGUAGUGGGUGUAAUGUACCUACUAGCCUACGACGGGUACGGGUUGUGAGAGCAAGAGCCCGGAGAUGGAUUCUGAGACAUGAAUCCAGGCCCUACGGGGCGCAGCAGGCGCGAAAACUUUACAAUGCGGGAAACCGUGAUAAGGGGACACCGAGUGCCAGCAUCCUAUGCUGGCUGUCCGGGUGUGUAAAAUACACCUGUUAGCAAGGGCCGGGCAAGACCGGUGCCAGCCGCCGCGGUAACACCGGCGGCCCGAGUGGUGAUCGUGAUUAUUGGGUCUAAAGGGUCCGUAGCCGGUUUGGUCAGUCCUCCGGGAAAUCUGACAGCUUAACUGUUAGGCUUUCGGAGGAUACUGCCAGACUUGGAACCGGGAGAGGUAAGAGGUACUACGGGGGUAGGAGUGAAAUCUUGUAAUCCCUGUGGGACCACCUGUGGCGAAGGCGUCUUACCAGAACGGGUUCGACGGUGAGGGACGAAAGCUGGGGGCACGAACCGGAUUAGAUACCCGGGUAGUCCCAGCCGUAAACGAUGCUCGCUAGGUGUCAGGCGUGGCGCGACCGUGUCUGGUGCCGCAGGGAAGCCGUGAAGCGAGCCACCUGGGAAGUACGGCCGCAAGGCUGAAACUUGA
rnacentral:rRNA from 1 species